rnacentral:rRNA from 1 species
UACAGAGGGUGCAAGCGUUAUUCGGAAUUACUGGGCGUAAAGCGCGCGUAGGCGGACUGUUAAGUCGGUUGUGAAAGCCCUGGGCUCAACCUAGGAACUGCAUCCGAUACUGGCAAUCUAGAGUUUAAGAGAGGGAAGUGGAAUUCCAGGUGUAGCAGUGAAAUGCGUAGAUAUCUGGAGGAACAUCAGUGGCGAAGGCGACUUCCUGGCUUAAAACUGACGCUGAGGUGCGAAAGCUUGGGUAGCGAACGGG